rnacentral:misc_RNA from 1 species
AGUCCACUUAAGCCUAGCUUAGUGUUGGGAGACUGCUCCAGUGGUGCUACCCUGUAGCUACCCUGCAGCUCCUUAAAGACAGCGGCGGAGUCGUGUAAUCCUCUGAGCUUAGUAAUUUAUUCUAGCUUUCGAAGAGAUCACUUCACCUGCCGUUAAACCACCCAAAUUUUAU